rnacentral:lncRNA from 1 species
UCACGAUACCAUUUCUAUAAGCUGAAUAAUACAAUAGUAAUAUUACAUUCAAACUUAAUUUACAUACAUCAAAGUUUACUUCCCAGGUACGAGACCUUCAAUUACAUUCCUUACAAUACUUGAAUAGAUAUCCAUACAGCUAUAACCAUUAACUCAUAAUACACACUUAUUCGAUCAGCUUUCCUUUUCCUUUGUUCGUGCCUGAGCCUUCAGGUUGCUCAUACAUAACUGAAAACAUUUAAUUUAAGCAAGGAUGAGCAUUUGAGUGCCCAGCAAGUAAUAGCAAUUAUAUAUAUAAGCUGAAAGAAUAUAAGUAUUCUCUUUACAUAACACUUCUACAACGAAUCGAAAGUUGUGAAGUAAUCUGUACUGAUAAAAAAUUCACAUAACAACUCUCUUUCAAUUUCUUGAAAUUAGGCUCCACCCAUGAAUAGGGUUUAAGAAACAUACUAUGAACAUUGUUUUUCAUUUUCGAAAAGGUUUAGCAGAAAUUCAUCCGCAAACCGUCAUAACUUACGGGCACGGAGGGUGAUCAGCCCCGUUGUACCCUGUAUUGAUCAAUACUACAUAACUUGAACGAAAUUCAUCGCUCACUCUAUCCGCCUUGGGCGCAAAAAUCUUCCCAUAUAGGGAUGUUCAUACAUGCCUGGUUCCAAACCCGAAGGUUUUUAAUCUUGCUCAACAAUAAUAUGUAAUUCAACAUAUAUGUAUACGGGUAAUUGACAAUGGUAUAUCAACAUGUGAAUAAAUGCCAUGAUUAUCCAAGUGGGGACACUUGUAUAACCAUUUAGAAAUCAACUUAACAGAAUAUAUAUCUGAGCUAACAUGUUGAUAAUCAAAGCGUACAUAAUCUGUACAGGAAUAGAAUAAUUCUGAAACUUCUUACUCAUGUCCAUUGCAUAAAGGAAAUGCAAAGGUAGGAUACUUGCCUGAUUUGCUGAUUACAAAUCUCAACUUAGACCUUAUCUCUUUAUCACAACCUAUCAAUAAACAGGUCAUUCGUCCGAUUAGAACAUAAAUCAUAACACAUAGUACUGUCAAUUAUGGUCAGUAAUAGUCUAAUUAUGUCAUCACAUUCUAUACUUUUAUACAUUUUUCAAAUAUCUCAUCCAUGUUCUUACAGUAGCCUUUUCUUGCUAUUAUAGGGUCUGACAGUUGUCGGCGUACCGACAGCUUUAUCGGGUACAUACUGAGUCUAAGACUCUUAUUCUAUACCUCAACAUCUGUGAAUAUCAGACAUUUUACUUUUAAUCAUUUUCGAAUUUUUCCAGAAAUUGAAAAAUUUAAAAUAAUUCAAAUCUGUCACUCAAGGUUUAUAGUGAUAUAACUGUUAUUAUGGUUGUUCUUCACCAAAUCCUGGACUUUAUAACCGGUUCUCUAGUCAGCUAGUUUGACCGGAUAUCACUUUCAAACAUCAGAAUUAUAAUUACAUGAUUUAAACAUUAAACAAUUCAUUUAUCAUUAAUAAUUUAUUUAUAUUAAACUAUUAAUGAAACCAUUGCCAAAAUAUAAAAGUUAUUUAUAAUAACUCAAACUAUUUUUAAAACAUUUAUUUUACCCUUAAAUGAUUUUUAAAAUAAUUAAAAUCAUUUUUAAAUAAUCACCAUUAAUAUAUAAAUAUUAAUGUACUAUUUAUCCAAAUAUUAAAAGUUAUUAAUUAUAACUUAAGAUAUUUUUAAAUCCUUAAUAUCCUCUUUAAAUGAUUUUUAAAUAAAUAAAACCAUUUUUAAACUAUUUAUUUAAUAUAAAUAUUAAAUAAACUUAAUAUCACAAAUCAUUAACUAAAUAUCAUUAAUAUAUAAUUAUUAAUGAAAUUAUCUUCUAAAUAUUAAAAGUUAUAUUUUAUAACUCAAAAUAUCUUUAAAUACUUUAUUUUCAUUUAAAAUGAUUUUUAAAAUAUUAAAAUCAUUUUUAAACUAAUUAUUUAAUAUAAUCAAUAAAUAACUUUAAUAUCAUUAAUAUUAAUUAAUUAAUGAAAUUCAUCACAAAAUAUUAAAAGUCAUGGAAAAUAACUUAAAAUAUUUUCUUAUACCAUAAUAUAAUUUUUCAUGAUUUUUCAUGAAUUAAAACUAUUUUUAAAUCAUUUAUUUAAUAUUAUAAUUAAAUAAAUAAAUACCUUUUAUAUUUCAAAAAUAUUAAAUAUUUAUGAAAUAUACUCAAAAUAAUUAAAAACUAUUUUUCAGACUUUAAAAUAAUUUUUCAUAAUUUAUUUGGUAUUUUUAAUAAUUAAAAACUAAUUUUUCUAAUUUUUAAAUUAAUUUUCGGAAAAUAAAAAGAUAACUGUCGCUAAAGGCAUCUAUAGCGACAGAACCGUCGCUAUAGGUGUUCUUGAGCUUCAUGUCUGUGCACAAAGGUGCUAGUUUGACCGAGCCUUAAAUCCGUGAUCUAAAUGUUUUCUGGACUUGCAAAAGCUUCAAUGUUGUAGUACUAAUGUAAUACUACAACUACAUACUCAUUUCAUGACCAAACAACAACAAAUCUGUGAGAUAUGAUCAACAGAAAACCUUGUCAGACGUGUUCUUCAUGUUUCUGGGUUGCCCAGAAACCUCUGGUCAACACCGGUCAACGACCUUAGUGGUCUUAUUCUGGUCGAUCUGUACAUGUUAUAAGUGUUUUAUACGUCGGGCUAUGUAGUACAACUUACAGAGAACAUGAUUAAAUCAAGUUUCAAGUCUAAACAUUAACAAUACCAAAGAUAUAAAUCAUCAAACUCUCUGACAAAACUUGCAUGCCAAUUCUGGGUUUUCCAGAAUUUCAAAACAGAUCGUGCAUGCUACUUUGGAUCUUUAUAUCUUUCAUUCUGAGUUUGAUCUAAGUGAUCUAUUGAUUCCAGGUUGUAGAUAACAUGUAAUACUACAACUCUAUUACAUAUAAGACAUAUAACAACAACAGAUCCAGUAGAUAGAGGCCGGUCAAAUGUGACCUCAACAACUGUUCUUGAACAUUUCUGGAAAACCCAGAAAUGUUCUUGAGCAGUUCGGUCAAUGGUAGUUUGACCAUAAAUAACUUCUAAUCUACAACAGAUAUGACCAUGAUUCCUUUUGCAGAAUAAAGACAACAUACCAGGCUACACAUAGCAAGCUUUAAACAUCAAAAACGCUUAACAGGAUGGGAUCUACAGCCUCUGACAUUCGUUGUCAGAACACAAAAAUUAAAAUUUCCAGAUUUUGAAGAUCUUCAAAUCCGAGCUUCUGAAUGUUAUGGAAUCAACAUCAAGCAACCCAGAUCAUCCUUAGACACUAUAAUCAACAUGUUUUAACAUUUAAACAUAACAUCUAACACCAAAAAGUUUAAGAAAAAUCAAGCUAGGGUUUAUACCUUUUUAAGCUUUGAUUCUGAUUUUUGGCUACUGAUUUGUUAUUGGUGUGAAUGGGGCUUGUUUAUAGACUGAUAUAAUGAGAGAAUUUCGUAGGUUUAG